GAUAAACGCUGGCGGCGUGCAUAACACAUGCAAGUCGAACGAUGAACCUUAAUUGAUUUCUUCGGAAUGAAAAUAAGUGGAUUAGUGGCGAACGGGUGAGUAACACGUGAGUAACUUGCCUUACACAAGGGGAUAGCCUUUGGAAACGAAGAAUAAUACCCUAUAAAGUCAAAAUAUCGCAUGAUAUAGUGACCAAAGAUUUAUCGGUGUAAGAUGGACUUGCGUCUGAUUAGCUAGUUGGUGAGAUAAAAGCCCACCAAGGCGACGAUCAGUAGCCGGCUUGAGAGAGUGUACGGCCACAUUGGGACUGAGACACGGCCCAAACUCCUACGGGAGGCAGCAGUGGGGAAUUUUGCACAAUGGGGGAAACCCUGAUGCAGCGACGCCGCGUGAUUUAGAAGGCCUUCGGGUUGUAAAAAUCUUUUUUAUGGGAUGAAAAUGACAGUACCAUAAGAAUAAGGUCCGGCUAAAUACGUGCCAGCAGCCGCGGUAAUACGUAUGGACCGAGCGUUGUCCGGAAUCAUUGGGCGUAAAGGGUACGUAGGCGGCCUAGUAAGUUAGAAGUGAAAUAAUAUAGCUCAACUAUAUAAAGCUUUUAAAACUGUUAGGCUUGAGAGAUGAAGGGGAAAGUGGAAUUCCUAGUGUAGCGGUGAAAUGCGCAGAUAUUAGGAAGAAUACCGGUGGCGAAGGCGACUUUCUGGUCAUCAUCUGACGCUGAGGUACGAAAGCGUGGGUAGCAAACAGG
rnacentral:rRNA from 1 species